CAGAAUGCUUCUCUUUGAAUCCGAGAAUGAAACAAUGCAGAAAAAGUGUCAUUGUAGGAGCAAGCUCUUUGGGAUAGGAAGCAUGUUUUCCUAUUUGUUUGUACAGUACCUAGCACAAUGGGGCUGUGAUCAUGAAUGAGACCUUUAAGUGCAACCUAAUAGAAACAUUUGUAAAGCAUGUCAUGUUCCACCCGCUCCAAAGUAUACUGAGCAGUAAAAAUAUAGUACAAUUAUAAAAUCAUUUUAAAAAUGUUUUUCAAAAUGGCAUCCUACAGGGUGAAUAAAAAUAGAUGGUUUAAAAAAAAUUAAAAGUGGAUUUAAAUUAAUUAAACAAAGGGUGGCUUUUAAAAUCAAUUUGAAAUCAGCAACCUGUGUUAAGGACCAAACUUAUUAUAAUCAAUUAAAAUAAUUUAAAUUGAACAUUAACAUUUCUUUCUUUACCACGAGAUACCAGGGUAGAACAAAUCUUGGCGGUGCAUUGGCUAAGGGUCCACGAGACCAGAAAUCAAGAAGUUUUGAAUUCUAAUCCCUUAAGCAAGUCAUCACUGCAUAGCAGCCAUCAUGUGAGAAAUCCAUUCAAUAUUGCAAGUCUUUCUGCUUUUACUGAUUAGAACUCAGCCUUUUAAAGAUGACUAAACACUCAACCACAUUCGAUAUAGAACAAAGGUUAACACAUGUAUGAGGAAAUACCACUUUCAUGGGUUUUCAUACCACUGUGGUACUUGUAGGAAACUUCUGAUUUUUAAUGGUGUCUGUGUCUCUGCCAUCAUGGGUCCUAAGAUGGCGAUGCAGUGGUCUCACCAAAGGAUAGUACAAACGUGGUAUCUAUAAAGAUCAAUUUAAA